UCCUCUUCUUCCGACCGAACCCCUGUUCCUCCUCCUCCUCUGUCUUGCUCGAUCUCUAUCCCCGCACAUCUUCUUUCGCCGCGGUGAGCCCUAAACACAUCCGCCCCUGCUCCAGCUGCAGGUCUUCCUCCAUACGACGACCGCGGUGCCAAAGGGCCCCACAUCCCAACUGGAAGGCAGAUCCCCAGACCCAGAUCCCCUCCCUUUGCAGCCGAGGACGAGGCCCUGGAUUUCAUCGCCGAGGAGAAGCUGACGGUUGAGGUGAAGGAGGAGGUCGUGGUGGUGUGGAGGAGGUCUAGGAGUACGUGGAGCCGUCGGAGGAGGCCAAGGUGUACUUCGUUAUGACGUCAGCAGCGAGCACCUCGCGCAACUCUUCGGUCAGGCCGGCGUCGUCGAGGUUGCCGAGACCACAUCAAGUCGAUGUAUACCAAUAAUGUCAAUGAGGAGUCAAUGUACUUAGCAUGAGGAUAUUAUUUGGUCGAUGCAUACAGACCACAGCAAGUCGAUGAAUUUUUUGACCCUGAUACUAUCUUUGAGCAGGCCAGUGGGUUGAGGUUACCGUGGUGAGCAACUCUUCCUCUUUGACCAUCUUCAGUGCUGGAUGAUAGUUUCACAGUCAAUAUGUGGCAUCGGUGACAAAAGAUGCAUCAAGUUUGCACAACGUAAAAUACUGACGGUGUAUUCAAUCUGUAAUUAGCACCCAUACUUAGCAUCAAGCGGUCACAGAGUUUUACUUAAAAAAGCAGUGACAGAGAGGACGAUUAGAUGGUUUUUAAUUUUACGGUAUUUAUUUUUUGUAUUUUGAGCGUCUACACAGGUGACCCGCAUUAUAGAUGAUGUUAGUGUGCUGCCACUGUCGUUCCUCUGUAGACACACGCACAUUUUGUCUGGUGAAGGGAAUGCCUCAAAUCAUCGGACCACUGAUUAUGUGUCGUGUUCUUGCAAGACUGAAACUGACAAAUUCGGUUAAUGUAGUGGUUGUGUUGUUGAUGCUCAUAUGAUGGAGCAACCAGCCGUGGUGGAGAGGCUAAUAGAUAGUUGUAGUAUUCAGACUUCCAGUUUUCUGCUAGCUCUACUCUGCUUUGUCCUUUCAUAAUGGCAAUGUAGCAGUUGUGUGAUACGAUUGCAACGCGGAGUCUUCACUGCAUAUUACCUACCGGACCGAUAUGUUUUUGUCGACAUAAAAGUCUAUCCUGAAUUUGCUAUUCAGGUGGCAAAUCCAAUAAUUUAUUUACUGUAUUUGCAUUUUGCAAGAUAAUUUGACUGCCAAAGUGCUACAUCGUAUCUCACUAGACCUAUUGAGUAAGUGGUAAUUUUUCCUUUAUAUAUCAUUCCGAUUUCUAUAUGCACUGUUCAUAUAUUCCUUGCAUUGUUCAGUUACCAAUUUUCAUAAGGGUCAUACUUGCUGGACCAUGGCACACCUUCCAAUGCAGGUUGCUUCCAUGACCAUACUUCAAAUAGGGAAAAUUAGUUUGCCUCUCAUCAUCCACUUUGGACCCUCUUUGCGUGGGCAUUUUUUUCAAAGCAUACUUGUAUAAAAUAAACUGUAUUAGUUUUCAGUUUAUAUCUGUCCAUGGUUUGCUCACAUCAAAAAUAUUGACAGCUAUAUAGUUCCCGAGUUUGGUGCAACCGAAAUACUUAUAAUCCAGUCCAACAUAGAUAGUUUACCCCUAUUGGAACAUGCAUUUAUCUUCCUCGAUGAGUAUGGCAGAAUCCAACCUCCGUUCGUCCUUUAAACUAGGGCUCCAUGGCUGCCAACUGACGGAGCAAGAACAGAGACCACCCUCUCCUCCAAUUUGGAGCUCCAUGGCCGCCAUUCGACAGGCGCACUGCCGUCGUUGCCUCCUCACAGCCUCACCUGGGAGAGCGCAGGCGCCAACGUCACCCACAACCUGCCUCAUGUUCAGUCAACAAGCUGUAGUUCAAUUAGGUCCAUUGCUCCUCUUACAUGCAGAACCUGGGAAGAUCAUGGUCUUCACUCAUUCUUUUCUGAACAACAUAUACACUGCAGGUAUACGAGAAAAAAAUAUAUAUUGUAUUGCUUGGAAAAAAUAUGUGAAAUUGGCAGGCAUCAAUUUGACCAGGUUUACAAGCUAUUAGAUGUGCAUUUUUAAGAUGCGGUAGUCAUACUUUCUACUGGAAUUUGACUUAUAAUUCUAAAGAUUUCCUGAGCAACAGAAUGCAGCUGCAACUUGAAUUUUUUAUGUCAAUUGGAAGUUUGGAACGAACACAUCUGUUUCUAGAAUGUUGACAUGUUUCUGUAUGCAAAAUGAACUAUUGUGCUUUAUAAAGCUGACAAGGAAUGUUUGCUUAAUGGCUUUCUAUUUUCUCUCUCAUUUGAACACUAAUGAUGAUGAUACGGUCAAAUUAUUUUAGGUGACUCAUCCUGGUUUAUUUUCUCAUUGUCAUAUGAAGUGCCAAAUAUCAAUUUCCUACAUUUGCUGCCAAAAUUUUACAAAAUAGCUUCAGUUAUUUAUUGGUGUGCAUCUUUUUAUAUAUAGGAUGACUGUCUCUUCCCUGCUUAUUCUUUUAUGUUUUCAAAUGAGAAACAUAUCUAAUUACUCACCUUUCAGGGGGAGAGCUGUUAUGAUCCUCACAUUCCAUGAGUUCCAGACGUAUUGAAUAAGCAAGGUUUGGUCUAAGAAAGUGAGGUUCUCGUGUAAUUUUCAUAGGUCAUCAAAUCCCUUUGAUAGGGGUUAAAGGAGAUGGUGGCUUCAACUAUGCCUCAAGAGAUUUGGCAGCCCUUUGGUUUGUUACUGAAUAAUAAUAAUUGAUAUUUUUUUUCUAUACCUCACUCUUUCUUGGUGUUCCUGUUUUCUGUAGAAUCGAAGUGGUAUAUUUCAUAGUUGAUGCAGUUCUGCCAUUGUAGGUGUGCUUUUCUGGUACAGCGAGGAGAUUUCUAUUUUUCAAAAAACAUACAGUAAGGAUAGUUCAGCAGAAACUUUCACGAAGUAAUAGUGAUGUAUUACCUAUGCCCGUGACAUUGUUCUAGCUUUCAGGAAGUGGUAUCGAGGAAUGUGUUGCUUGAUGAAGGAUCAGGGUAGAUAGUUUAAGUGGAAGAUGCAAAAUUAUGGAAA